rnacentral:rRNA from 1 species
GAAAGGUUGCAUGAGAAAGAAACUGUCUCCUCCGGCAGGUCGAUGAAACUGAUCUAUCAGUACAAAAGCUGAUAUACAAAAACAGGACAAAAAGACCCUGUGAAACUUUUAAACCUAAUCAAAACCACCAUUGACCAAGGUUUUUAGUUGGGGCAACUAAGGAGAAACAAAACCUCCAUCACACUGCCAAGUCCAACAAGACAAAGCACAACACCAAAUUUGACCCAGUACAACUGACCAAAGAACCAAGCUACUCCAGGGAUAACAGCGCCACACUCUUUUAGAGACCAUAU